rnacentral:rRNA from 1 species
AAUAGAUACCCCGGUAGUCCACGCCGUAAACGAUGUCGACUUGGAGGUUGUUCCCUUGAGGAGUGGCGUUCCGGAGCUAACGCGUUUAAGUCGACCACCUGGGGAGUACGGCCGCAAGGUUAAAACUCAAAUGAAUUGACGGGGGCCCGCACAAGCGGUGGAGCAUGUGGUUUAAUUCGAUGCAACGCGAAGAACCUUACCUACUCUUGACAUCCAGAGAACUUAGCAGAGAUGCUUUGGUGCCUCCGGGAACUCUGAGACAGGUGCUGCAUGGCUGUCGUCAGCUCGUGUUGUGAAAUGUUGGGUUAAGUCCCGCAACGAGCGCAACCCUUAUCCUUUGUUGCCAGCGGUUCGGCCGGGAACUCAAAGGAGACUGCCAGUGAUAAACUGGAGGAAGGUGGGGAUGACGUCAAGUCAUCAUGGCCCUUACGAGUAGGGCUACACACGUGCUACAAUGGCGUAUACAAAGAGAAGCGACCUCGCGAGAGCAAGCGGACCUCAUAAAGUACGUCGUAGUCCGGAUUGGAGU